rnacentral:tRNA from 1 species
GGAGAGGUGGCAGAGUGGCCGAAUGCGCUGGUUUGCUAAACCGGUAUAGGGCUUUAAAACCCUAUCGUGAGUUCGAAUCUCAUCCUCUCCG